AUUGAACGCUGGCGGCAUGCUUUACACAUGCAAGUCGGACGAGUGGCGGACGGGUGAGUAAUAUAUUGGAACGUACCGAGUAAUGGGGGAUAACCAAUCGAAAGAUUGGCUAAUACCGCAAACUAUUCGAGCGGCAAAUAUGGGAUUAGCUAGGUGGUGGGGUAAAGGCAUACCAAGGCGACGAUCAGGAGCGGGUCUGCGAGGAUGAGCCGCCACACUGGGACUGAGACACGGCCCAGACUCCUACGGGAGGCAGCAGUGGGGAAUUUUGGGCAAUGGGCGAAAGCCUGAUCCAGCCAUGCCGCGUGUCUGAAGAAGGUCGUCGGGUUGUAAAGGACUGUUGUUAGAGAAGCGGUACCUAAACAAUAAGCACCGGCUAACUACGUGCCAGCAGCCGCGGUAAUUC
rnacentral:rRNA from 1 species